rnacentral:misc_RNA from 1 species
UUAAGUUCAGCAAGUAUCCCUACCUGAUUCGAGGUCAACCAUAGAAAAUUGGGGGUUGCUAGCCAGCAUCCACCAGGACUCACACGCAAGGAUAUAAUUACUACACGUAGAGCUCAAUAGCACCACCACUACUUUUAAGGCCAGCCAUCGCCAGCAGGGCCCAAGACAAGCUAUGCUUGAGGGUUGAAAUAACACUCGAA